rnacentral:rRNA from 1 species
CAGCAGCCGCGGUAAAACGGAGGGGGCUAGCGUUGUUCGGAAUUACUGGGCGUAAAGCGCACGUAGGCGGCUUGGUAAGUUAGAGGUGAAAGCCCGGAGCUCAACUCCGGAAUUGCCUUUAAGACUGCCGAGCUAGUAGGUGAGAGAGGUAAGUGGAAUUCCGAGUGUAGAGGUGAAAUUCGUAGAUAUUCGGAAGAACACCAGUGGCGAAGGCGGCUUACUGGCUCAUUCUAGACGCUGAGGUGCGAAAGCGUGGGGAGCAAACAGGAUUAGAUACCCGAGUAGUCCCUGUCUCUUAUAA